GAUGAACGCUGGCGGCGUGCCUAAUACAUGCAAGUCGAGCGAACGGACGAGAAGCUUGCUUCUCUGAUGUUAGCGGCGGACGGGUGAGUAACACGUGGAUAACCUACCUAUAAGACUGGGAUAACUUCGGGAAACCGGAGCUAAUACCGGAUAAUAUUUUGAACCGCAUGGUUCAAAAGUAAAAGACGGUCUUGCUGUCACUUAUAGAUGGAUCCGCGCUGCAUUAGCUAGUUGGUAAGGUAACGGCUUACCAAGGCAACGAUGCAUAGCCGACCUGAGAGGGUGAUCGGCCACACUGGAACUGAGACACGGUCCAGACUCCUACGGGAGGCAGCAGUAGGGAAUCUUCCGCAAUGGGCGAACGCCUGACGGAGCAACGCCGCGUGAGUGAUGAAGGUCUUCGGAUCGUAAAACUCUGUUACUAGGGAAGAACAUAUGUGUAAGUAACUGUGCACAUCUUGACGGUACCUAAUCAGAAAGCCACGGCUAACUACGUG
rnacentral:rRNA from 1 species